UACAGAGGUCUCGAGCGUUAGGCGGAAUCACUGGGCUUAAAGCGUGUGUAGGCGGAUCGGUAAGUACCUUGCGAAAUCCCACAGCUUAACUGUGGAACUGCUUGGUAUACUGCCAGUCUUGAGCCACUUAGGGGCUACCGGAACAAAUGGUGGAGCGGUGAAAUGCGUAGAUAUCAUUUGGAACGCCAAUGGUGAAAACAGGUAGCUGGGAGUGUGCUGACGCUGAGACACGAAAGCCAGGGGAGCAAACGGG
rnacentral:rRNA from 1 species